GAGGCCGUGACGUCAUCUGGGGAGGUGGAAGCGCAAAAUGGCCGUGAGGCGAUUGUCGAGUCGUGAGGGGCCGAAGAGAUUUUGAGCCCAGUCGUCAACCCGGCAUUGCCACUGUAACCUCUAAACUCCUAAACCACUAAAUUACAUCGCUCAGCGCAAAAUCCAGGCGCCUCUUGAACACCUCCAGGGAUGGUAACUCCACCACCUCCCUCGGCAGCCCACUCCAAUGUCUGACCACCAGACCAGUGAAAAAACUUUUUGUUCUAAUAUCUAAUCCCAAUCUCCCCUGUCUCAUCUUGAAGUCAUUUUCUGAGGUCCUCUCACUGCAGACAGGGUAGAAGAGGCCGGACUCCAACUAGUUGGAGAGAGAGAGAUAAGGUCCUCCCUGAGCUUCCUCCAGGCUAAACUUAGCCCAGGUCCUUCAGCCGCUCCUCAUAGGCGCGUGGGGAAAAGACGAUUUUUGGGGCUGCUGUGCUGCCAGCACGUCCCUUUUAGUAGGCCUUUUGUGUUGAAUGUUACUACAAAACACAACUUUUUCUUUUUUCUUUUUGCUACUAAACCAGGACUGAUUCAGGAUGAUGGCAUACACUUUCUUCCUCCCUUUAUGUAUGAUUUGACAGAUCAACAUGUGAUUGUUUUCAGUGCUGGGCCUGGCCAAAUGUGGUUGUGUGGUGGCAGUGAAUGGCCUGAAAAGUCUUGAAAAGGGCUCCAAGGUUGUGGAUUUCCUGACCUGUGCAGCAGAUGUCUCUGCCCAGGGAAAGGUUCCCUCAGGGAAACUGCCAGAGCUGCUGGUCGUCCUUGUUCUCCCAAACACCCUCUGCUAAGGCUGGUCUCCCUCAGCUAUAACGUCUAUAUAUGCUAUUAUUACAUAAUUCUUUUAUAUAUAUUUAUGUGUGUGUAUGUAUGUAUUUUUGUAAAGCUGUGCUGCUGGAGCCCUUGCUGCUCAAGCUUCCUCGUGUGACUUCUGCUUUCUGCAAAAGGGGAAAAAAAAAAAUCCAUGCAGGGAGAAAGCUCUGUGCAAGGAGGCCUUUGGAAGCGUGGCUUUGAGAGGUGCCUGCUCUCCCUGUGUUCUGGCUGUUAUUUUCCUCAGGUUUUUAAUGUUAUAUUGCAAGAGUCUAUCCAGGCUUGAAGCUGCUUGGUAAAGAGUCACAGAGUAUUUAGUGUUUGUUGGAAGGGACCUCUGGAGAUCGUCUAGUCCAACCCCCAUAUUUAACAGAUUCUUAGAGUAUGGUGUUUCAGUACUGUUAAUCGUUAAUUAUGCAAAACUAAAGGAAUUGUGCAGUGAUGAGAUAAUCCUUAAAAGUGUAUGCAUGUAUCUUUGUGGUUUCAUGCCAGCUUUGUACCCUGCAUAGUCUACAAAAUAAAAUGACUGAGCUGAAUGCAAACUCAGAUGAAAGAUGUAGUCUCAGUAACCCCUUUGAGACAAGAUUUAGGGCACUGCAACUGCUUGCAUAAGUAAGGCUGACCCUCGGGGAGUGAUCUCUAUAUAUUGUGAAGUUUUAAGUAGGCCAGAUGACACCUUUAAAAACCUCUGUAAAGGGUAAGAUAAAAUAGGUAAUAAAGAGGGUGUGAUUUCACAUUUCCUUUGCUGUUUUUGCCUUUCUGUCCUCUCUUUGAUAAAUGGGUUUAUUUUGGAGCACCAUGACACAGCGCAUAACACUGUAACAAAUUAGGUGGUGCUGUGAAAAUAAUAAUUAUGUAUUGUUGUGUUAAUACUGCCAAAGAGAAGACUCGGUACCAUGUUGAUGUUGUUUUUCAGGCGUUUGUUACUUGGCUCACAAUAGCUAGACACUUUGCCAGGGAAAUGCAAAUUAAUUCUGCCAAGUUCAAGGUGAAUGGUGAGCUAAUUCGUGGGGGAAGGGAAGACUGGAUUAAUGCUUUAAAACCAGGCUAAUUUUUUAGGACCGUAGCUGAGAGCCUGAGCUUUCCAGUCUAAAAUGGUAAUUUCCUCUCCCUUCAGCUCCUUCUGGAAAAGGUACUGCCUCUUCACUAUUUUUGGGAGCCUAAGCUGAUCAAAGAUUAGCAAAGGUUACCUUAAGAGUUCAUAGAGAAACCUGGAAUCUUGAAAUUAAAUGCACAAAUGCUAAGAGGAAUGGGAAUCUCCCAUAGGGAAGCCUGCUUAGGGACCUAAAUAAAUGAAGGGUGACUGUGCAGUUCAAGAACACAUCAAAAAGUUGUUCUGUUCUAGAAGACUGAAGCAAAGCAGAACAAUAACUGUGCAGUUCUUAGAAACUGUUAAUGACUGACGAAUGUUCUGUUGCCAAACUGAUAUGCAGCAAGGGGGAAGCUUGAACAGGAAGAACCAAGAGUGGAUCAGGGAGAUGGCACAGAAAAGUCUGGCAAAAGCAACUAAAUAAAGGUGGUGGUGAUAAGUGAAACUGAAUAGUGGCAAUUUGCACCAGAAGAAAACAAAACAAGCACUAGAACAUAAGUGUAAGCUUUGAGUUAAUAACAAAUCAGCAAAACAGGCUGGUGAGAACCUGAGCCUGGCCACAGUGGGAGGUUAUAUAUCAGAAUAUGAUCUAGUCCAGGGAAGGAAUUUUCUGCCUGUUUUUAUUAACAGAUACAGAUGGUUAGGAUGUCUCUUCUUUUGAGGGGAAAAAACCCUAAUUGAUAGGAUGUCUAGGAAUAAAAUACUCCCAGAUUUCACUCAAAGUUAGCAUUAAAACUGACUGGCCUCUAGCCAAAAAAUAAUAACUUGAGAUCUCCAAAAGAAAAAGGAAUUCUUAUGUAAAACAGUCCUGCUCCUUGCAUCUCUGUCAUUGCAGCUGUAUCUAGCAGAUGCAAAUCUGGAGUAAAAUCAGCUAAAUUAAAUUGAAGGAGGCUAGAAUUUCUAUUGCAUAAUGUAAUGAGACUAAAAUAAACAGAAAUAAGGAACAUAAUACCUUAUUUGUUACCUUUUUAAGUUCCAAGUAGAGAGAGCCAAGAACUUAGGAAAAUACAAUAUUAAUCUUGUAAUGCAGUUAUGUCACUGAUAAUAGUUUUGAACCUCUAGAUGCAGUACAAAGAAGAACUACUGCAGUUUUAAUUCCCUUUUCUUUUGUUUGAAUCUGUCCAAGUUGCUUUUUUUUUAUAUCUAACUUCUAAAAGAAGUUAAAAAUGAAGCAUGGCAUUUAUUAGUGUGUAGGUGAGAGUCUGUAGAAAACCAUGACUUGCAUUCAACACUUUGCAUUAUGUUACCUAUAUUUCUGACUUUUUUUGCAAAUAUUGAUGUGAUUUUUUUUAGAGUAAGUUUCAGACAAUGCUUUGUAUUUUCUGCUGUUAGUAAAGCUCAUAAUUGCAGCAUAAUUGCAGCCAUUCAAACUAGGAUCAUAGCAUCAUGGAAUCAUUUGGAUUGGAAGGGACCUUUAAGGGCCACUUAGUCCAGCCAUGGGCCAUCUAUGUCCACUGUAAGCAGGGACGUCUUCAACUAGACCAGGUUGUUCAGGGCCUGGUCCAAUCUGACUUUGAGUAUUCCCAGGGAUGGGCCCUCCACCACCCCUCUGGGCCACCUACUCCAGGGUUUUACCAUCCUCACUGUAAAAAACAUCUGUGUCUCCAUGUAAAUGGAAACUGAUUAAGCUACAGGUAAAUAUGUUAACUCUGUACCUGUUUGGGAUCUUCAGUGUUACUAACCAUUAUGAUGUGGCUUGCACAGUGCUUGACCUAAUGCCUGGAAAAACAGUUUCUGUGCUCCUGCUUAUGUGUCUGGACUCUAGCUCAUUUCACAGCAUGCUUCUUUGAAAGUGCUGUUUGUGAUGCAGUAACUGUCUCAAAGUUUUGAGGGUUUUUUAAUACAGCAUGUGUCUUUGAUGUCCUGAGCAUAUCCUUCUUUGUCUUGCCUUGCACUAGUCUUCAUAUUAACAAUCCUGACUCACAAACCUUGCUGGAUGCAAUUUGUAAGAAGCAUUCCCCUCUCUGUUAACCCAGGGUUAGAGCUGCCACCUAAUUAAAUAAUCUUCUGUCCUGACCCUUAACAGGCUGUAAGCAGCUUUUCCCAGCAAGGCAGGUAAACUCUUGGGACAGUGCAAUAAAGCUUGAAAAUACGCUAUUUUUAAGCAUGUUUGUGUGUUCAUAUGUGCUCUAGUAGUGUUUUAUAAAAAUCAAUAAACUCUUAUUCUUCUGUAAUUCUGUAGAAGGAAGAAAGGAAAGCAACCUUUUAUGAACUGGCUUGGAGAGAAAGUGCUUUCAGUUACAGCAGGCAAGGGAGGCUGUACUUUAUCAGCAAAAGAGGAAGCCUUUUCAGAUAGAAAUGAAAACUGUCCUUUCUCAGCAUGUUUGAAUUGCCCUGUUAGUGCAGUUGAAAGAAAUCAAAGGGAAUCUGUCCUUAUUUUCUCACGUAUCUGUGAGACCAUGUAUAAAUUGCCAAGACUUGGGAGGAAAGGGAGAUGAUACUUUUCAGAUCCAUUAAGGCACAGCUGAAAAAACUGAUCUAAUGAAAGACCAGAAGAAUGAUGUGGGCCACAGGAGCCUUGUGAAGCUGUAAAUAAUAGGGUGAAUUUUAGUUAACCAUUGGUUUAUUUUGCGUCACUGUGGGAUGCUGGAUUUCAAACUGCUAGAAGAGGUACAGAUGUACAGUUGUCUCUUGCAUAUGUGCAUUUACUGAAACAGUGUUUGUAAAUGCUUCUGAUCUGUGGAUCUUGGUGCCCAAGGUGCUGUGAAUUAAAUGAUUGUAGGAUUAUUUCUUUUCAGCUCUUGUUGGUCAUUAACAGCCCCUAAAGACUUGAAGCCACAAACUGAAAAUCCUUACAAGAAACCUUUUGGGUUUUUCUUAACUGCAUUAUGAAGAGAGGCCUUCUGAUUUCCUAAACUUACUGCCAGUUCUGACUAGGAUAAACUGGGGAUAAAAAUGCUUUCUUUGUCUUUGUCAUUGUGCCUAUAAUAAUCACAUUACCAGAUAGCUCUCUGCAGAACAAUACGGAAACAAUUUGCAAGAAAGCUUGAGACUAGGAGGUUGUAUUUUUCUUGAGACUCUGCAGUUAGCAUAAUACUUUCAUGUAGAGAUCUUGUUUGCCUAGCAGUUUUUAAGAAUUCCUGAUGGCAUCCAGCUGUAGCUGGGGUUGGUAUAAUUGGCUGCUUUUUUUCUGAAGACAUUUCUUCUGGGGAGCUGUUACGGGUUGACUGCUCAAAGACCUUGCAACAAAUGGAGGCAAGUGCUGGAGUACAGUGUUUGAUUUUUUUUUUUUUUUUUUUUUCCCACUUAUGUGCUUGUUUACCACCUUUGCAAAGGCUUAUUUAUUUUGCUUAAUUCUGCUAGAGAUACACAUGUAUCACUCUGACUGGCAAAGUUCUUAUCUUCCUGCAGUAGCUGAUAAGGCUGUAGAGACUGGCCUGCACGGGUUGUUAAUGAGCUAUUAAUGUAUGUAACUCCAAUAUUGUAGAAACAAUCUCUUCAAUUACUGUUUUAUCACUGGUCAUGUAUUGGCUGACUGGUUCAGGUUUGGGCCAGUGCAAAUGUUGAAAGUGAUGACUCAGGCAGCAAACUAGACUAAUGACUUAAUGGCAAAACAACAAUCUAAACUAAAACUAUGCCAAAAGGUUUUUAUUUGUUCAUUGUCUUUCUUGUAGCAGAGAAAAAAGGAGGGAAUUACUUGGUUGCUGAUCCUCUAACAGUUUGAGUUGGGGACAAAUUUUGAAUACCAGUUAGUAACCUGACUGUUUCAAAACAAAUCAGAAUACAUGUUGUUCUGUGGAGUACCUUUUAACAUAUCAGUAUGUGUUGUGGGGAGUUAAUUAGUGCAAGGUUCUGUGUCUAUUAACCUCUUUUUGUUGUCAUGGAGGGGAAAAACAAUUGCAUUAAGAAAUGCUGUCUGUGGUGUGAUAUGUUAAAUUGCAUCUAGGUUAGUUGUACAUUUUUCUACAGCUUUUACUGCUAUGAUCUCUGUGCUCAUGUAAUCUGUUUUCAUUUGCAGUGCAGUCAGCAGUAUGAAAAAUUAAGUAGCAUGUUAGAGCUUUCAAGGAAAACAUGAUGCAGCAUGAUCACGUAUAUUAAUGUAAACGUUCAGAGCCCUUUAGCUGAAGCAAUGAAACCACACUGAGGGAGUCACUGGUAUGUGGAAUUCUCUCCUCAGAGCUGCUGUUCUGUGCAGAGACUCUUGGGAGUGCAGAUUGAGGACUGUGUGGUUUGUCAUUGAGGGAGUAUAACCCCAUUCGCCAUUUAGAUAUGUUUGCCACAGGAUGGGAUUUUUUUCUUUCCCAGAGAAUUCAGAAGGUGGUAUCAUUUUCUCAAGGUGCAAAGCACCUGGUCUAUCAGCCAUGCCUGUUGUCAGUGUUUGGAUCAACACUGGAUACCGACUUUUUCUUAUCAUGGUAGUAUUCAGGUAUUUUGCACCUGCAGCACAGGACUAGAAAAUCACCUCAGCUCUUUAGUGGUGGGUGGAAGUUUCAGUGGAAAGUGAAAUUACACUCAAGAUGCUGGGUGGGGACUCUGUGUUUUGUUCACAUAAAACAGCUUCCAGAAUCCCAAGCGUUUAGACUUCCUAGGUUUUAUGCUUGGUCUUUGCACUUGUAGCAUAGUAUGGUUACCCAAGGAGUCAUAAAUAGGUUUAGCUUCCUGUGAUCCUCUUCCUCCUUAGAGGUAGAUGACAGACUGCAACUUUUUUGCAGUGUGUGUCACUAAAGCUACUGGGAGCUCUUGCUUUGCACUGAAGUUAAAGAAUCUAUUACAGGAAUUAAAAAUUGGCUGGACUUGCUGUUGAUCUCUGUUAAUCCGAAGAUUUUGAGUGAUUUAAGUCUUUGGACUUCAUCUUGCAGAAGACUGACUAAUUAAAAGGGGCACUUGCCAGGGAUGGUGUGCAGCUUAUUACACUGGUACAAGUGUUAAGUCAUGGUGCUUUUGCCUCCUACUUAUAUGGCAAAGUACCAUCAAGUUUCUGGUGUGGAACUGAUUUAUAACUUCAGUAGAUUUAAUAUCAUCUUCUGAUCCAUCAUGCUGUUCCUGAACUCUCCCUCAAGAAAAAAGUAGAAAUUUUCCUUUUCUGAAAGGACCUGCAAUGUUUCCAGAGGAGAUUUCAAAAAUCAGAAUAAAGACACUUUCUCUUAUUUUCCUAUCAAAAUUCCUGCUGAUUCUGUCUCCCUGCAGACAAAAUGUAGUAUGCAUAAUGACAGUGAGGUUCCUAAGUAAAUACCAUGAAAUUUUGUGUAUCUUAGUCAUACAGUGCUAUUUUUCUUUCCUCUGUCAAUAGGGAAGAAUACUGCUCUCUGAAAAUUGUGUUUUUUUUUUUUUUUUUUUUUUUUUUUUUUUUUUGCAGCCUGCUUUGCACACUGAAAAUAGUUCAGAUUUUGUACUGUAAAGCACCACCACUAGAAUUUUGCUGAAGCCCAAACAAUUUUCCACUGGAUGAUAAUAUCCUUAAAUUUAUUGUCCCUAGUUUAUGCAGCAUGUGUUUUACAAGAGAUACUCCAGGCUGUCCUCAAUGUGAAAUCUAGUUUCAAAAAACCCACUUCUGUAGGCCUUGUCUGUGGCAGGAACAAUAAGGCCAGUAAUGAUUCUAAUGCUUUUCAGCUGGUGGGGAAUGCAACAGAACAUUUUGUGACUUUGGAUCAUGUGUUUAUGCAUAAAUAACCAAAAAGAGGCUUAAGAGAACAGUAUCAGAAAAAAAAUAGUGCCAAUUAUUAGUUAUCAGGGUAGUACUAAUGAGAUGAGACUGCGUUGAAAAAAAUUUUAUAGUCUUGUAAAGAACUUCAACUUUGUCUUUUUCCAUUCAGUUGAAGUUGUCAUAUGACCCUUUCUGCAGAUUUAGGAACAGCUGGUAAAUUUGCAGAGGAGAGUUAAUGCCCAGGGAAGUAAGGUAUGCACUUGCACCGCACAAUGCCAUGAGAGCUUUGUGCUGCAUGUAAAUCUCGGUAUUAAAAAAAUAUGGAAACUUGUUCAAUGUUGCAGUAAGCAUGUUACUAAUGCUAUGACUGCAUGGGUUAAAACUGACAAAGAUUUACUGACGUGUAUCCAGUUCUGUUGAAUCUGCUGGGACCCAGUAUUACCGGGGUAAGUGCAGCCUGUGGAGUUGCAGUCAGUGUCUUUUUCCUGUUAUAGCUCACAUCAAUUUUGGACUAGAAGAAACAACACUAUAGUGGCUUUUUGGUCAACAUAAUUUGCAGUUUUCUAGCUGACUUAUGCUCACAGGAGUAUUUUGCUACCUUCCCAGAGCUAAAUGUGUAGGAUGUGUCUGGGAAAUGUUUAUGUUAUGUCCCUCUUGCAAAUAGAAACCAUUCUGAGCACCACCCUCAUGGCACAGUGAGGCAACAUGCUACUUCCUGAUUCUGACAUCCGUAGCAAAGAAUAAACACAGGUUAUCAAUACUCUCUUGUCCUGCUGCAUAUGACCUCUCCAGCUCUAGCAGUACUUAAACUCAGGAGCAAGCAGCUGAAAGCUUUCAUUCUCUGCAUCCUGUAAUCAUACUCAGGGAUGGAAGGGACUAAUUAAUGCCUGAAUACCAGGGAAUACAUACCCAGUCUGAUCAAAUGCAGCAGCAGUUAGCACUGGAUUUAGCUUAAGGUCAGGGAAGAGAGAAGGGAUGCUGUUAGGGUGAAGGAGUAGUCUGUAAUCUUCUUGGUAGUGAAACCCAAUCUCCCUCUCCUGACCAGGUCAGUCUAUAUGGGUAGCACACCAGAUAUGCCCACAUCUGGUACAGUGAGAGAAUUUGUCUGGCAUGUAUGGAGGAUUCUACUUUUUCUCACACAUGUAAAUGGAGAUCUACAUUUCAUGUUGAACAACCUGCAGCCCUUCUUGUGUGGGCUGUUAGCUUUUUUUUUAAGCACUGCUGUUCUGAGUGCAAUAAAUAGAGCAUAUUUUAGAUUAAUUCUCCAGAGAAACAAUUUUCAGUAUAACCUGGUUUUCAACACUCAAAAGCCUUUGGAUAUAGCCUAAAGCUGUUGUAAACACUGGGAGGUAAGAGCCUUUGAAAUAGCUGUGUGGAGUAAGCAGUGUUUUAAAAACAAAACAAAAAACUUCCCCAGAUAUGAGCUGUGUUGCAAAUUUCUGCAAAUUUCUGAGUGACCCUGCAAAUGGACUUUUUAAAGAGGAAAUGCUGCUACACGAUCAAGGUCCCCGAAGGUGCUAAAAAAGAGCAGCAAAUGUAUAAAGCCAGUAAAGCUUGAGGUAUUAAGAUAAAAAACAUCCAUCAUUGAAGCAGUCAGGGCUCCCCUUUUAACAGUAUAUCUUGAUGUUACAGUGUUCAAUUAUGUACCUAGUUUGUAUAAUCAUUAAGGAAGAACUAGCCUCACAGUGUAAAUCCUUUAGUUUAUUGGUAUUUUAGUAACAUACAGUACACAUUUUACUGCUCAAAUGGUUAAUUUGUUCGUGAUGAUGGUUGUUUAUGUUGUUCUGAGCCUGUGGGUGUUCACUCUGACUGAAUGCAUACAUGUGUAGAUGUAUGUUGUAGAACAUGAUGAAACCUUGAAGUACUCAGUUCUUGGCAUCAUAGUAGCCUGUUUAAGUAUUUGCUCAAGAUCUACAUUCAUGAGUAGCCAGCUUUGAGGCUUCUCCUGCAUAUCUCAUGACAGUUUUGGGAUACUUAUAUUUUGAGAGAGUUUGGACUGGAGUAACUCUGCAGAUAACUUCCAGUUAAGGUAUACCAGCUUCUCAGGGAUUGUCUAGUUUCACUGAGCAGUGAGGCUGAGCUGGAAGCAUGCUGCAUCCCUGAGCAGACCAGUGAAAAGCUGUUGCUGUGGGCAGCCCCUCUUGCUCACUCCCUUAGAGCUAAUGUAUAGGCUCUGCAGCAUCCUUAAUUGUCCCCAGGUGGUGUGUGGUCCUGUUCAGAAAUCACACCUUGGUCAAUUGUAUCCUCAACUGUAGUCAAGUGCUCUGGCCUGCAGCUGUUGUGAUGAAGACCAGAGAACAGGUCCAGACAUUUUAUCUGCACAAGGUUUAGCUUGCACCCUGAUACUGCUCGUCUGGUUUAUGGGAUCACUAAGUACUGGAAUAUUAAGUUUCUUGUGGAGCUUGGGAUGCCAAAUCUUGAUCAGGACCACAGUGAUUUUUUUGCUGCAACUAUUAAGCAUCAGUGAGGUUGAUAAGUGAUAAUCCUGAUACCUAAGACAAGUGUUCUAGUGCACAUGCUUUUCUGGAUAUCAUUUUGGGAACACCUCCACUAAUACUCAGUUUACACCACUGAGCUGAAAUAGAGGGUUUUUAACACCAGAUUUGUCAUUCAUUUUCUAUGCGACCGUACACAUGAGGUAUCUCAGGUGGACAUGUAGACUUUAGGCCCUCUUUUGAAAUGUCCUCUUUGAAGGGCAAUAGGUGGAGGAUUCAGAAAUUCUUACACAAAUGCAUAGUGUAUUUAUAUGUGCAUUGUUAUUUACAUAGCAUAAUCCAUAUUUAACUUACCGAAAAGUACAUGAUAUUAAAAUAUGGUAAAUUCAACCUUGCUUGACCUGUCCAGCCUAAAUACUUUUUUGUAGAGGAAAAAUGGAAAGAACAAAAGGAUUCUUACUGACUUAUAAAAGUUUCAAAAUGUAAUGUCAUCAGUGUUAGAUAAACUUUUGUAUCUGCAUAGAAGAGAUAGACAAGCUCACUAAUGAAAUUUCAGGUAUUAAAAGCAAGACAAAUCUUAAAAGCUGCUUUUUUCUUUUUUUGUUGUUGUUUGUUUUGGGUUUGUUUUGGUUUUUUGUUUGCUUUUCUUGUUUUUGUGCGGGGGUUUCUUGUUCGGUUUGGUUUUGGUUUGGUGGGGUUUUUUUUGGUUUUUUUGGUGCUACAGCCUAAAUUGACUGUGAUUCCAGUAAAGGUAUUCAACUAAACUCUCUACUGUUUUAUGUAUAAUUGAAAACAGGAUCCUUAAGACUGUAUCAUAAAGGUUGGAAACAAAAAUAUUAAAGGUAUUGAUAAAAAAAAAAAAAAAACCACAACAAACAAAACACUUUGAAAUUGCUUUGCUGCACAAUAGUCAAUUUACCAGACUCUCAGCACAGCCAGUAGCUCUAGUGUCUGUGUUUGGGGAUGUCUGGUCCCUUGCUUUGGAUUAUCUUGUAAACGUAUGUUUUGUGAAUUAAUAGUAACACAUGGCUUUUAAUGAUAAAAGGACAUUUAGUUUGACUUAAUUAUCUAGUUACUGCCUUUUGCAAUAACACACUGCUUCCUGUAGCUAAACACUCAAUUGAAACGAAGAUAACUUAUACAAAUACGUAAAUGUUUAUCACUUAAAAUUCCCUUGAUAAAAGAUGCUUAAGCUGUAAACCUUGGUGUUUGAGAAGGUAUUUUAAAAUUUGGAUGGUUUCUGAAGAGAUAAUCAGAUUCUAAGCCAAGUUUCUUCCCUCGAAUACCUGCAUUGUCUUCAGUAAUAAAUUUGCAUGCAAACUGGAGGAAGGCAUUUGGCCUAUUCUUAGAGCAAGUCAAAAUUAUGCUCUGCUUCUUGAUGAUCAGCUGUACAUCUUCCCUUUAUAUCUUGUGUAUCAACAAGUGCAGGGCACUGAAGAAACUCUUUGCCUUGGAGAAACUUACAGCCUAUAUGUAAAGAAUAACUAAAUGUUAUUCUAUGAGUUUAUUAGGGUUAGGAACUCGCUAUUCCUUACCAGUAGGUUGUAGUGUGUGGGUAGAUAGCAGGUGUGUGCAUUGGCUCCUGCCAUGCUGCUGGAAAAGGAACUAUAUCAUUGGUUUUGCCCUUCUUACUGCAAGUUUCCCACAUAUGAUCUGCUUGUAUGAACCUGCAUGUCUCUGCUUCCUAACUCAGUUCUUAAAAUAUUAUCUCUCAUAGCUUAAACACUUCAUGUAGCUGAGCUUUUUGUAAAGUUAAUUUAUCAAGCAGUUGGGCUGGGGAGAGAAUACACAUGUAGUUAUGUUGGCAGACUGGAGAAUGAAUAAAAAUUUCAGUCAAAGAAAAGAGCUGUAUUAGGUGACUGGGACUAGAAGCCUCUUUACUUGCCCAGUGUCACCAAAGCACCAUUUCUAACCACCAGUCAGUCAUUGGUGUCGAUUGGGUGGAUAAAGCUUGAUUUUGUUAUCACACUUGAGACCAGGGCUGGAUCUGGGUCAGGCUGAGAGUCAGAGGACUGUAGUGCAUAUGGAUAUGCAAGAGCUGGCAACAGAUGGUAUCAUAGUGGGAAGAAAGAGACAGCUCAUCAGCUGGCAAUGUUUCUGCUGCAUUUUGUCAAUUAUUUCUUUUUCUUCAGGGAAGAAUUCAGUGUUUGGUUAAGUUUUGUUGUUAGUUUUUAUAGUUAUUGAUCCUAAGAAAUCGUCCGCUCUGAACUUAGUAUUCCUUUAUUUUAAGGCCAUUUGAUAUCCUAAGUAAUAUGAUUAGUGCUCACAUUUAAGACUGUAUUUUCUUAGUUAAAAAAAAAGCGCCCAAGUUACAUGUAAAUAUUGUGGCAAAGGGUUCCCCAAAACCCUGAGCAGAAUAUUAAUCUUUGUGGCAGAUGGUUCUACAGUAAUUGCUGAUUCAUAGUCUUUUGAAAAAGGAAGUAAGCUACUAAUGAGUUUAUGGACUAAGCAUUUUGACUAAAUUAACUUCUUUAUAUCAGCAUAUUGCAUUUGCAGUAAGCUUAGAGUUAGAAAAUACUGCUUAUAUUUUACAAGUAGGAUUGACUUAAUUUAGUGAUUGCAUGGAAGAAAAGGACUCAUACAUUAGUUUUUCAUUCAGUAAUAUAUCUUAGGUUUUCUUAAACAAGAAGAUAGUUUUAUUAAUCAUUCCUGUUUUUCUUAAGCAAAACCCUAAAAUGUUUAAAACCAAGCAUUAGCUUAUUUUGUAGGGCAUUUACAGUGGGGUUUUCAGAAGAGGUGGGUUUCUCAUCGACUAAUUUUUUUUUUUUAAAUUUUUGCUAUAGAUUUAAAUUAUUAUUAACUUGUGGACGAAUAAUAGUGCUUCUUAAGCUUUAAAAUUUUAAUUUGUUUUUACAUCUAUUUAAUGAAAAAAAUAUGAGUAGCUGCCUGUGAGAAGGAUGACUGCUUUCUUGAAGGGAUAAUUUAACUAAUUAUAUAUAAACAUUUAUUCCAUGCUUAUCACCAUAGUAACUGAGGCCUCAAGUCAGUGUGCUUUGCUGAGCAGGGUUGCAAAUGCUGUAGUGAGCCAAGGCCUGAACUUCUGUAUGAAAAUACAGUUUCACAUUUUGUUGAGGCACAGCUAAUCCCUGCUACACCUUUUUGGCCUCAUGUCACUAUUUGUAUUCCCGGGGCUGCAAGCAUGGAAGAAACCUGGGAGUUAAUGUGUCUGAAAAUUAACCUCCCUGAAAAUUAGUGUGCACCAAAUCAUCCUUCUGAUCUGCUCAAGCAUGUGACUGUAUGACCACUAGUGAGCCACUGGGGAGAGUCAGGAACAUGUGAUUGUGAUAAGUGUGGGGAGAGACAGCUAAAAAUUAAUCUGAUUACAAAGCUGCUCUGGAAGCCACUUGUUUAGGGCCUGACUAUGCUGUAGCUGAAAUUGUUGAAAAAUUGUUGGGUUGGGAAUUUAGCCAGUUUAAGUGAGGAAAUUAUCUGACCAAUAUUAAUUUUGAAGUGCUUAUUGUGACUUUAGAAGUAUAUCCCUGAGCCAAGUAUCUACUUGGUCCUGUUCUGAGAAUGGAAGAUGCUAUCAGGAUUGACUUUUGGUGUCUCUUCCCAUAUGCUGACCUCUGACAACUGGCCACAGAAUUUUAUCCGAAUGUUCACUUCAGGGAUUGUUACAAUUAAGUUACUGCAUCUCUUUAUUUUCAUCUUCUUUUUAUCUGUACCUAGACAAUUGCUGUCAGAGAAACCUCAUCUUUUUACUUCAGCUUUCAUUUUGACAGCAGCAAGGGUAGUACUAGCUAUUUCUGCAGGCUGUUUGUAAGUAAAUCUCAGAUGUAUUCAUGUUUCAGAUGCUCCUUCUGCCUUAUAAAACAUGGCAAUAGUAUGUGUUUUAUAACUAUAAAGCUUUAGAAACUCAGACUUCAAAACUCUGAAAGACUUUAAAACAUUUAUCCUAAAAAACUUGAUGAAGGCUUUUACUUUUUAUCUGCUACAUUAACCAGGCCGUCAUUUUGAGCCUUUAAAAUUACAGUGCCAUUUUAUUUUCCAGUGCGCUUUAGAUCAUCACUUCACCAUCCAAGGUCCUGAUUCCACAGAGACUUGCACACUUGUUUAACAACGCAUGUUUCAAACAAUACUACUGAUUUAUUACUCUUCAUUUACUGUUACCUGAUUUGAAGACAAUCAGACAAAUCAGGGACAUCAGCAUUAAUUCUGCAGUAUUUGCAAACAGAGAAAUUAUUUGCAGGUGUAGCACAGCACUGCAGUUAAUCACACUUGCAAACUGCAGUAUGAAGUGUGAUCUUGUAUAGCCAUUUAUAGCCUGAGUUUUCAAGAGCUGUAACUCUGCUUUUGGCUUGGCUACCUUCCAUGGCUGUUGUAGAUUACAUUUGCAAUCAAGUUGUUGCCAAACUUCCACUCAGUGUUAAGGUCAUGUUUACUACUGCGCAGCUGCAUAGUGAAGAGUUGCAGUAAAAGCAAAAUAAACUUAAGACUAUUUGAAGAGCAGCUCUCUAUGGGAUUGGAGAGCAAGUGGAUGUUGGGCAGAAGCUCAAAUUGACUGUGGACGAAAGCAGAAUAUUUUUGGCAGCAUUUAAAUUUUACUGUUUCAUUAUAGCUGAUGUGUCCUUGACUGCAGCUCUAAUAAAAACAACUUGUGCGUGUUCUGAGUACUGUUUAAAAAGAACAUAGAUGUAAGAAAACUGGAGUCUGUAACUCUCCGUAUGUGGUGUUGGAAUGGUGCAAGGUUUUCAUCUAUUAGCCAGAGUGAGUAGCCUUCUAAAAACCCUAAAAAGAACCUAAAACCAUUAAAUUUCUGGCACUGCUCAUGAAAAGAAUGCUGUUGGAACACUUAAGGUCCUGUUACUUUUACAGGGAAUGGCUACAAAGGCUAAAUGUGGUCCUCCCAGAUGAAGGGUUAAAGUAUACUACAAAUGAGCUGCAAUGGAGCUUUAAUUAUGAUUUAACUGUUCUGAAUUAGACACCCACACCCAUAUUCCCUUUUUGUGUUUUAAAAUCUUGUAGAUGGAUGCAUUUUUGCUGGUGUGAAUGCCAGUAACUCUUUGAGCUUAAAAAAAAUGCAAAAUCCAAAAACCACGGCUGGGGAGGGACUAUUACUGCCACUGACAUUCUGACACACAUCUUUUAGCUAGCUUUAAGUAACGAGGUGUAUGCAGUAACGAUCAGCUGCACUUGACAAGCAAAAUUCUCCACAAUACUAAGUUUCCUGUGUGAAAACAGACCACAGAGCAGAGGAGAAGGAUUUUUGUAUUAUCCUUACAUGAGGAAAGAGACAGGUUUAUAUCUUUUGUUAACACCAAAAAUCCAUAGAGGAGCAACACCUUAUUGUCCCACCUGUAUAAAAGCUUCAGCUGGAAUUCUCAACUUUUUAAAGAGUCAGUCAAUCAAAUGUAGAAUACUAGUGUGCAGGAAACCUGUAGAUACAAAAAUGCUGCUAGCGAGGAUUUUCUUGCUAUUUUCUAAGUCCGUGAGAGACUUUUCUCUCUC